AUACGGAGGGUGCAAGCGUUACUCGGAAUCACUGGGCGUAAAGCGCGCGCAGGCGGGCUGAUAAGUUGGACGUGAAAGCCUACGGCUCAACCGUAGAACUGCAUCCAAAACUGUCAGUCUAGAGUCUGGGAGGGGAAGAUGGAAUUAGUUGUGUAGGGGUAAAAUCCGUAGAGAUAACUAGGAAUACCAAAAGCGAAGGCGAUCUUCUGGAACAGUACUGACGCUGAGGCGCGAAAGCGUGGGGAGCAAACAGGAUUAGAAACCCUAGUAGUCC
rnacentral:rRNA from 1 species